rnacentral:lncRNA from 1 species
CUAUUAACAGCUCUGCUGAUAAAGCAGUGGAGCACAGCCAGGAGAUCUUCAGCCAGCUGAUCCGUCUCAUAGAGAAACGUAGCUCUGAGGUGGAGCAGCAGGUCAGAUCCCAGCAGGAACGUGAAGUGAGUCGAGUCAAAAAGCUUCAGGAGAAGCUGGAGCAGGAGAUCACUGAGCUGAAGAGGAAAGAUGCUGAUCUGCUGAAGCUUUCACUCACAGAGGACCACAACCAGUUUCUGCACAGUUACCCCUCACUGUCAGGACCGGGUCAACCUGCAGACUCAUCCAGAAUCAACAUCCGUCCUCAGAGAUACUUUGAAGGGGUGACAGCAGCUGUGUCAGAGCUCAGAGAUAAACUCCAGGAUCUUAUGACAGAGACGUGGACAAACGUCUCACAGGCAGUGACUCAAGUGGAUGUUUUACUGUCAGAACCUCCAGAACCAGAACCCAAGACCAGAGCAGGUUUCUUAAGAUAUUCACAAAGAAUCACACUGGAUCCAAACACAGCACACAGACAGCUGUUAUUAUCUGAUGGAAACAGAAGAGCAACCUCAACUAAACAAAAACAGUCAUAUACUGACCACCCAGACAGAUUCACCGUUUAUGAACAGGUCCUGAGUAGAGAGAGUCUGACUGGACGUUGUUACUGGGAGGUGGACUGGGGAGGGUACUGGGUUUAUGUAGCAGUCACAUACAAGACUAUCAGCAGAGCAGGAAAGUCAUUGGAUUGUUUAUUUGGAGACAAUGACAAAUCUUGGAGGUUACUCUGUUCUAAAGACAGUUAUGAAUUUGUAUACAACAGUGUCAGCACUCAUGUCUCAGGUCCUUUGUCCUCCAGGGUAGGAGUGUACCUGGAUCACAGAGCAGGUAUUCUGUCCUUCUACAGCAUUUCUGAAACCAUGACUCUCCUCCACAGGGUCCAGACCACGUUCACUCAGCCGCUACAUGCUGGACUGACAUUACUCAGGUCUA